UGUGUUGUGCCAUGUUUCCUAGUCUA
rnacentral:piRNA from 1 species